GCUUUUCAAAUCAAAAGAAGGCAUUCAUCGUCCUUCAUGAAGAUCUUCCGAGAAAACUGCCGUUCGAGAGAUGUUGUCAUUAUCAAAGGCACUUAGACCUGAGUAAGGACCCGAGGAAAAUAUUGAGGAUGUUCCAUCGGACUCGAAGGUAGUAGACGACUGUCUCAUGUUCGGCCGGGUGUUAGAAGCUGACAUAGAAUCCUGAUAUUCUGUGACACGCUGUACCAUUUUAAGUGACUGAACCACUUCACCCAUUGUCGGUCGUUGGUUUGCCUCCGGAGCAACACAAGCUGCUGCAAUGGUGCAAACGCGUACAAAAUCUUCUUUUGGAUAUUUUCCCCCAAGCCUUGUAUCAGCAAGCUCUUCUAGCCUAUCUUUGUCUCUAAGGAUCGGCCUGGCCUGGAAAUGCAACCAAUUGUCUCAACUAGCCCAAUUUUAUAUUUAUAUAUAUGAUAAAGAAAUAUUUUUCAAUCAUUACAAAGGAACAAUAUGUAACCAGAUUAGGCUUACUAACCCAAGUGACCAGAUUUUCCUGCCCAGAUGGUUGUGACAUAUCUACAGGUUUCCUUCCUGUCAGCAACUCAAGGAGGACAACUCCAUAGCUGUAAACGUCACUUUUUACUAGUAGAUUAUACUUUUCCAAUGUCAAGAAGGUACUUAAAUGCUAAACUCUCAAAUAAUAUUUUGAUAAUCAUUUUGACGAGCCAAAUGGAUACUUCUAUUGGAUGUUUGAUAGCUAAAUCGUAAUGAUAUCAGAAAUUAUUAAAAAUGGGAACUUAUAAACUCGAAGAAAUGAGAAAAAUGACAGAAAGGCAUUGAAAAUACCAUCGCUUGGAUGUGAAAAAUAUGGGACGAAAGAAAAGAAGAUUUAAGCAAAGACCAUUGAAAAAUAAUCCAGUAAGACAAAGCUCUAGAAAGUACUAUAUACAAAAUUUCGUCAACCAUGUAGGUAACCACUGCCUUUGGGAAAAUUUUGCAGUGACAUCCCGCAAGGCACAACCCAAAAAAACCCACCAACUCCACCAAUCACAACUGCGAAAUCUAUGCCAUUUCCUCAAAAGAAUUCCUAUCAGCAUCUUGCCAUCUUCAAAUUUAUCCACAAAUCGUAUAUUGGUCGAUCAAAAGAAUGCUUUUCAAAUCAAAAGAAGGCAUUCAUCGUCCUUCAUGAAGAUCUUCCGAGAAAACUGCCGUUCGAGAGAUGUUGUCAUUAUCAAAGGCACUUAGACCUGAGUAAGGACCCGAGGAAAAUAUUGAGGAUGUUCCAUCGGACUCGAAGGUAGUAGACGACUGUCUCAUGUUCGGCCGGGUGUUAGAAGCUGACAUAGAAUCCUGAUAUUCUGUGACACGCUGUACCAUUUUAAGUGACUGAACCACUUCACCCAUUGUCGGUCGUUGGUUUGCCUCCGGAGCAACACAAGCUGCUGCAAUGGUGCAAACGCGU
rnacentral:lncRNA from 1 species